UACAGCCUGGGCUGCAAAGUUGGGGUAAUAGGAAACCUGUUCCAAAUCCUCCACCCUCUCAGGCACUUCUCUGGACACCUGUACAGGUAAAGGAGAGAAAAGCAGUUACAUGCAAAUGGUGUGCUGCAAGGUAAUGCCUUUCACUGUACAGUGGAGCUGAUUCUGAGGUGGGAGUAAAGCAAAGCAGCAAGUAGCUUUGAACCUGGACAAACCAUGUUGCCAGGGACUGAUUAAGGGUUCCAGCUGUUUUAGAAGUGGCCGCCCCACCCCCCACAGAAUGUUCACUAAAACACAGCAACCUAGCAGUAUUUCUCUUGUAUUUGGAUCUAGAUUACUAUUGUGGAAGACCCCAGACUCACAAUCAAUGUCCUACAGGAAGAGCCACUAAAUUAACAAACUUAAAUAGAAGUUGUCUGGACUACAAGGCUAAAUUCUGAGUAGAUUGAUGGAAUGUUGGUUUAGCAAUCCAGAUGAAUACAGCAUACAUCAUUAUUGGUCUAUCCUACACGUUGCUUCACCUUGCCACCAUCAACCUCUUCUGGUGAACCUUGCUGGAGAAAAGUGGUCUUUUUCUGAAGAGCAAUGAAUUCCUC